ACUAAAAAUCUAGCUCUAUCCCCAUGAAUUCAAUUCAACUAAUUAAACCUUAGUACUAAAUCAUUUUACUUCUUUAGUAAAGGCGAUUGAAAAUUUCAUUGAAGCUAUAGUUAAAGUACCGCAAGGGAAUGAUGAAAUAUCCAAUGAAAAAUUUUUAAGUAUUAAAAAGUAAAGACUACCCCUUGUACCUUUUGCAUCAUGGUUUAACUAGUUAAAUCAAGCAAAACGCAUUUUAGUUUGACCUCCCGAAACUAAGUGAGCUACUUCAAGGCAGCUUCUAGAGCGAACCCGUCUCUGUGGCAAAAGAGUGGGAUGACCUUAAAGUAGGGGUGACAGACCUAACGAACUUGGUGAUAGCUGGUUACUUAAGAAAAGGAUUUAAGUCCAACCUGAAAUAUUUAUGCUAGUAUCUUAAAACAUUAUUUAAAUUUCAGCGUAAUUCAAAUAAGGUACAGCCUAUUUGAAUAAGGAUACAACCUAGACCAGAGGAUAAGAUUAGCCCCAUAUAUAACCAAGUGGGCCUAAAAGCAGCCACCUUUAAAAUUGCGUCAAAGCUUAAUUAUUAUUUUGCCCAAUAACACAAUCUCUAUCUUAAUCCCCAAUCACCACUAAGUAAUUCUAUAUUUAUUAUAGAAAAUUUUAUGUUAAAACUAGUAACAAGAAGAAGAACUUCUCUUAAAUGUAAGUGUAAAUCAGAAAGGACAACCCACUGAUAUUUAACACCCUUGAGCUUGAAAUAGCAACCAAUCAAGAAAACCCUAUUUUAAUUUAUGUUAAUCUAACACAAGAACAUUUUAAGAAAGAUUAAAAGAAAAAGAAGGAACUCGGCAAAUAUUAACCUCGCCUGUUUACCAAAAACAUCGCCUUCUUGAAUUACUAUGAGAGGUCCAGCCUGCCCAGUGACUCUGUUCAACGGCCGCGGUAUCCUAACCGUGCGAAGGUAGCGUAAUCACUUGUUCUUUAAAUGCGGACUAGUAUGAAUGGCACCACGAGGGUUAUACUGUCUCCUUUUUCUAAUCAGUGAAACUAAUCUUCCCGUGAAGAAGCGGGAAUAAAUCUAUAAGACGAGAAGACCCUAUGGAGCUUAAAACAAUUUAGCAUUCACCAAGAAAUAUAAACUUUCCAGAAUUAUAAACCUCCUAGCACAAUGACUAUAAGUUUUUGGUUGGGGUGACCGCGGAGCAUAAUACAACCUCCAUGCUGAAGGAAUAAUAUUCUAAACUAAGAGUCACCGCUCUAAGUAUCAAUAUAUUGACAUUAAUUGACCCAAUAUACUUGAACAACGAACCAAGUUACCCUAGGGAUAACAGCGCAAUCCACUUCAAGAGCUCCUAUCGACAAGUGGGUUUACGACCUCGAUGUUGGAUCAGGGUAUCCCAGUGGUGCAGCCGCUACUAAAGGUUCG
rnacentral:rRNA from 1 species